UGGAUCCAGACUUUGAUCAUGGCUCAGGAUGAACGCUAGCUACAGGCUUAACACAUGCAAGUCGAGGGGCAGCAUAUCAGUAGCUUGCUACUGGUGAUGGCGACCGGCGCACGGGUGAGUAACGCGUAUCCAACCUUCCCAUGACUGGGGAAUAACCUUGCGAAAGUAAGACUAAUACCCCAUGGUUUCCGAGGCGGACAUCCAAUUUGGAAUAAAGAUUCAUCGGUCAUGGAUGGGGAUGCGUCUGAUUAGCUUGUUGGCGGGGUAACGGCCCACCAAGGCGACGAUCAGUAGGGGUUCUGAGAGGAAGGUCCCCCACAUUGGAACUGAGACACGGUCCAAACUCCUACGGGAGGCAGCAGUGAGGAAUAUUGGUCAAUGGACGAGAGUCUGAACCAGCCAAGUAGCGUGCAGGAUGACGGCCCUAUGGGUUGUAAACUGCUUUUAUACGGGAAUAAAGUGGCUCACGUGUGGGUUUUUGUAUGUACCGUAUGAAUAAGGACCGGCAAAUUCCGUGCCAGCAGCCGCGGUAAUACGGAAGGUCCGGGCGUUAUCCGGAUUUAUUGGGUUUAAAGGGAGCGUAGGCCGCCGAUUAAGCGUGUUGUGAAAUGCCGCAGCUCAACUGUGGCACUGCAGCGCGAACUGGUUGGCUUGAGUGCGCGGAAGGCAGGCGGAAUUUGUGGUGUAGCGGUGAAAUGCUUAGAUAUCACGAAGAACCCCGAUUGCGAAGGCAGCUUGCCGCAGCGUAACUGACGCUGAAGCUCGUAAGUGCGGGUAUCGAACAGGAUUAGAUACCCUGGUAGUCCGCACGGUAAACGAUGGAUGCCCGCUGUUCCGGCUAUAUGUUGGAGUGGCCAAGCGAAAGCGUUAAGCAUCCCACCUGGGGAGUACGCCGGCAACGGUGCAACUCAAAUGAAUUGACGGA
rnacentral:rRNA from 1 species